GAUAGCCAAGAAGAGGCCAGUCACAAGCACGAAAUCCCCUCCGGAAAACGUCAGCUUGUUCCCCAAACUGUCGUCGAGAGAAACAUCACACCUGUCGCACCAUUAUCAAAAUUAUGAUUAUCAGACCAAGAACCUCUCGGCUCCGCUCAUUGUGAACAUGAAGACAGGCAUCUAUCGAGGUGAGACUGGGAUCCAACCAGCGCCUUCCAGAGACCAGUCCUACAGUCCCAGAAGAUCCAAAAACAUUGCGAGGAUCAGCCUCAAGGAUGUCAAUCACGAGCUGAGUUCAGCAGCCGACGCCCUGAGGAAGCAUCGUCACUUCCCCCUGAUGUUGUUAACAUUCUCAGUGAUGGGUUUCCUCCUGCCCUAGGAGGAGGAGGAGGAGCAGGGGCCCAGUUAAUGACUCUUAUUCUCUCUGUUAAUAAAAAUUUUGAAAAAAAAAACAUUAGAAGUUAGAUCGUGGAACCCCUUUUCCGUUGACGGUUUUCACCGACGUCUUUGCGUCGCGAAAUCCUCUUGCGUAAGAUGAAGGAAAAGAAUAAUUAGAUGAAGAUGAAGCGAUAUAAAUAGAAAGAAAAUGUUAACUCGAGGAAGUGUGAUGACAUAAUAGUAUUAUUCCCUGUUUGUUUACGCAAAGUACAACUAUAUUUUAUACACAGAUCCCAGCGAAGACGCUCGCCGUCUUGAAACGAUUUAAAAAUAAAAUAUUGUAGUACCUUUUGAAUUUACGAUGAAAGUUUUUGUAUUACAAAAUACUUUCUCCAACAUAUCUCCUUUCCUGUAUUGCCUCUGCUGUUCUUAAAAAAAACAAAUCAUUCUACUUACGUAACUAUCCCAUAAGAAGAUGAAUUCAUACCCUGUUCAAAUCUUGUAAUAGUACCUGAGGUCAUAUCUGAGACAAUUGAAGAUGUCAACAAAGGCGAUUCUUUGAGUUUCUAAAGAACCGUUCAUACGAAUGCCUACGAGUGUCAGUAUUUGAUAGCUUUUGAAAGUCUGGCCUGGAGAUUUUGUCUCAAAAUUUGUUGUCAAAGAAUGAUUUCUCAUCUUAUAAGUCGAAAUUUUCUUAACAUACUGUUUUUACAUCUCCAGAAUGGCCAUGAUUAUUUUUUUAACGUUCUAUGACUUGAUAUUCAUAUUUUGUCGAAUGAUUGUUAGCUCGACUUUGCUAUAGGCUACACUCGAAAUUUAAAUGCUCUGGUCUUGCAUUAUCUUGGUAUUGGUAUUCCUUUGUAUUUCCUUA